rnacentral:rRNA from 1 species
UACGAAGGGGGCUAGCGUUGCUCGGAAUCACUGGGCGUAAAGGGUGCGUAGGCGGGUCUUUAAGUCAGGGGUGAAAUCCUGGAGCUCAACUCCAGAACUGCCUUUGACACUGAGGAUCUUGAGUUCGGGAGAGGUGAGUGGAACUGCGAGUGUAGAGGUGAAAUUCGUAGAUAUUCGCAAGAACACCAGUGGCGAAGGCGGCUCACUGGCCCGAUACUGACGCUGAGGCACGAAAGCGUGGGGAGCAAACAGGG